ensembl:misc_RNA 7SK 7SK RNA
GGAUGUCAGGGCGAUCUGGCUGUAAUAUCUGUCACCCCAUUGAUGGCCAGGUUUGAUUUGACUGAUCUGGCUGGACUGGCGGGGGUCCCCUUCCUCCCUCACCACUCCACACGUGUCCUUCCCGAAGCUGUGCGCUCGGUCCGAAGAGGACGACCUUCUCCAAUAGAGGAGGACCAUUCUUCCGUCAAGGGUAUAGGAGUAGCUUCAUUCCCCUGCUAGAACCUCGAAACGGGCUCUCAAGGUCCAUUUGUAGGAGAACAUAGGGGACUCAAGCUUCCAAGACUCCAGACACACCCAAACGAGGCACCGCAGGUGGCAGUCUGCCUUGCUUU